CGACAUACCCCUUCCCCAUUUCUUUCUUCAUCCUCAUCUUUUAUUCCUUCAAACUCUCAACACUGCCUCCUUUCCUCUCCCUCACGGUUCAGUAGCAGCCGGUUCUUGUCCUCCCUCCACUGUCAACGGAGCUGCUGCACCACCUUUGCCGCCACUUCAGUCACCACUUCCUCACCUCUUUGUUUUUGGUUUAUUGAAGAAUCAAGUUAGGGUUUCUGAUUUGGGAAAAAUUAGUGAAUUGAAGUUCAAGAUUAAAAGUUGAAAGGUCCUUCAAUGGUAAUUGAGGAGACGACAUCAUCGAGGAACCUUUCUAGUGAUCGUGGAGAAACGGACUUCGCUUCUUGAAGCGUUAUUGCUGAUUACAAAUCGGAUCCGGUCGGGAAUAAUCGGGUUAGCAAUGUUGAUGAUAGUGCUAAGGAUGUCCUUUUGAGCUGAGACCGUGGAAGCUUAUAGUUUGUAUUAGGAAUUUGUUUAAUGUAUAUUAGUUCUGAUUAGUUCUGAUUAUGUUGAUUAUAAUGGACUCGUAGUGAGUUGUAUGGUUACUUUAUGUUUAGAUUAGAUAUUUGGUUUGAGAUUUAGCUGUGUUGGUUUCGUAAUAGAGCUGGUGAUACCUUUGCCCAGGUUUUGGGAUAUGAUUUAAGUUUCUUGGGAAAUAAUCCCCGUGACGACCCUGGUUACCUAGUCAACGGUAAGUCGGGUUGUUACACAUUUGAUAGUCUGUUUUUGAAAUAUAUAUAUUGAAACUUGUGAAUAUUUAGAAUUUUUAUGUUAUUGGACUCUCAUAAGGAGUUUGACUUUUCUAUAUUGCGACUGAACCAUUGAAUGAUUCAUAUUGA